rnacentral:rRNA from 1 species
UACGGAGGAUCCGAGCGUUAUCCGGAAUUAUUGGGUUUAAAGGGUGCGUAGGCGGCCAUUUAAGUCAGCGGUGAAAUUUUGCAGCUUAACUGUAACAGUGCCGUUGAUACUGUUUGGCUAGGAUUUGGUUGUAGUGUGCGGAAUGUGUGGUGUAGCGGUGAAAUGCUUAGAUAUUACACAGAACACCGAUUGCGAAGGCAGCACACUAAGUCAUUAUUGACGCUGAGGCACGAAAGUGUGGGGGAUCAAACAGGAUUAGAUACCCG